rnacentral:rRNA from 1 species
UACGUAGGGGGCAAGCGUUGUUCGGAAUUACUGGGCGUAAAGCGUGCGCAGGCGGUUUGUAAGUUUGUCGUGAAAUCCCCGGGCUCAACCUGGGAAUGGCGAUGAAGACUGCAAGGCUAGAAUCUGGCAGAGGGGGGUAGAAUUCCACGUGUAGCAGUGAAAUGCGUAGAGAUGUGGAGGAACACCGAUGGCGAAGGCAGCCCCCUGGGUCAAGAUUGACGCUCAUGCACGAAAGCGUGGGGAGCAAACAGGG